CUGCUCUGAGUUUAGGCAUUCCAUCCAACAUCACUAGAUUGCAGAUUCUCUCAGAUGGAAGAGUAGAAAAAUAACGAAAGUUGCCCCUGACUCAAAAUCUUCCUUGAAAAAUGAUGGCAAGAAAACGGACUCGUUUGACCUUUCGAACGCCAGACAUACUCCACCGCGGUGCAUCUCUUCGGCUCGGGUGCCACUGCAGUGGACACGUGCCUUAGCAGUGACACCAUGAUGGGGAGUGCCGGUGCCUCUGCUACCAGCAAGGAUGGGUCCUCGGUGCCAGCCAAGAUCUGAUCCAACUCUAGUGUCCCACUCUAACACUGUUGGCUGUUGCCUCAGACUUAUCAUGCAGCUCCAUAGGCCCAAGAGAUGCAAUAAUGUAACAGACAUGAUCUUUUAAGUGUCCACGCAUCAGGAAUGGGGCAGGACGUGUUGGACAUGCCUUUCCUCUGCAAUGCCUGCGGCCUCAGGUGGAACACUCAAAGUCUGGAGGCAGAAAUCACCAGAAGAUUUACUCACAUACAUCUAGUGGUUGAUUCUGGCCUUGGGUCACAGAUCUGGCCAGUCCCAGGCUUCCUUACAUCAUAGCUCUGGAUUCUGAGCCGUUGCAUGGUUCUCUAAAUAACAGGCACGCGCGUAGAUCACAAUUGUUUGAUCCAUCAAGUGUAGACAUCUGUGGACCUCCUACCAAGAUAGCUGCCUGAUCUCCUUCCCACCUUUCUUCUCCCAUCCUAUCAGCAUAACUAUUAAAUCCAAGAAGGCAGAGGAGGAGAAGAAGAAAAGACAAAACCAUGGAUAUCUCAGAUGUUAAAAGAUCUUUCCAGUGGGCCGGUGUUGUAAAGGCCACAUGCGUCCACUCAUCUUCGCAGAGAGGAUGAAUUGGAACCAGCUCCAGAGGUGACGGGCUUGGUUUUCUGAGCACAAGAGCAAGUCAUCCUACCGCAACAGAACGGAAACUCCCGUCUAAGGUGAUACUUUCUGAAAGGCACUUUGAAAACAACCCCCCCCUAAAUCUCUUAUAAACCACAGCUGUUAAAAUCCAGAGGUACCCAGCUAGGUAUUAGAGAGUUCUUUCCAACACAGCUAAUAAAUGAGAGGCUGCAAUGAAGACCUCGGCGGGCAUCGCUGAAGCCUGGGAGUUGCGCUGUGACAGUCUGCUGGUGCCUGGCGACGACAGAGAUUAUCAGCGAAGCAUUGAAGGUUACGCCAGGAAUCGCAACAUUGCCACCUGCGCUCCGGCUGGGAAGAACGAGCCUGCCAGGAAAAGUCAUCGCAAAGUUUUACGUGAUUUCCUCAGUGCCAGAGGCUGGAGGACAUGAUGUGACGCGAGCCCCACCGCCCAGCUGCUCUUUGACCUUGGUCAUGAGUCAUCCUUCUCCCCGAACCUCGGCGUUUCACCAGCCGUGGGGUGGCGGUUGCCAUCACCUGCCCCCCUCACUUGAUCAUUAAGGGCUUUCACGAAUUUCAUUUUCACGCGGUGUUUUCGCAUCCUUGGCAGGGCGUUGCUACCUCGUGUAAGGAGAAAGCCGUUAUCAUUAUUGACCUCAGGGCCAAAAAAGGCUCCUUUUUCCGGCUUCCUUGCUUAUGAAGCCUUAGUAUCAAGCUGGUAUGAAGCUUUUCAUCACGCACACACAAAAAGCAGUCAAAAGGUCACCGUUUGGGAAUAUGAAUUUAUCGUCGCAGCUGCCUUCUGUGAAAGGCAACGUGCUUUCGCACAUGUAGCGGGUUACAGGGAAGGCUCGCUCCGAAGGUCCCCAGUACAGAUGGCCGGAGCUGGCCUCUGGCGGGCACUUCAUUAAACAGUCUCCCUUUGACCAACAGGCCUCAUUGUGAGGCAGCCCAGGCCUCAGCUGAUGUCAAAAGCCCCAUUCUACCCGGGGUGGAUUCUUCUCACAAAGCAUGCCCACACGCAUCCCGCGGCAGAUAGGGACGGGGCUAGCCCCACAGAUGUCACUGCCACCACCGCCGCUGUCACUUUUCUCCGUCACAC